rnacentral:pre_miRNA from 1 species
UCUUUGGUAUUCUAGCUGUAGAUUCUUAAAUAUGCUAUCAUCUAAAGCUUUUAUACCAAAGCUC